CAGCUUUUAGCAGUUCUGCUCAUUUACCUUCCGGCAAUUGACAUGACUUAGAGUGGCAAAUGUUAUGCUUUUACCUCUUAUAACAUUGAAUUGUAUGCUUGUUGAAUCAUAUUGAAAUGCUAGAUACUUAACUGACUAAACUUGUUUGAAUGUAGGAACUACAGUUCCAUCAAACACCACUACUGCAAUUCUUGCUGCUCCCAAUUUGUCGAAUCCCAUGGCUACAGUUGUUGGUGCUGCUUCAAACCCAUUAACCUAUAAUUUGUAGUUGAAUUUGAAUUAUGAUCCAAAAUGCAACAUAUCAAUGAUGAAAUACGGCGAUGCAUCUGCUUGAAUUUCUCUGUCUAGUUGGCCUUUUAAGUCCCUUCUGAUUUGGUAUCCUUGGAAAAUUAUUUGUUUUGCACUCUUGGCAUUUUAAUAUCAUAUUAGAAUAACUAGUUUAUAACUUUGGAGUAAUGAUUCAUUGUAAUUUUACCCAUUUUUAUAUAUUUCUUUAAUUUUUUAAUUCAUCACAAGGUUCAUGCCAUAGGGGCAAAGCUAAAAUCAAAAAAUAAAAAAGAACCUCAUUGAGGAAGAAAAUUCAGAGAAUAAGGUAAGAAAACCAAAAAAUAUAGCAACUGAGAGAAUAUACAGAGCUAUGUUUCUCCGACUCUUCAUUUUGCUUGAAGUAUCCCUUUUUUAUACCCCUGUCAGAGUAUUCAUUUUUCUUAAAGUAUUUGGUUUCAACACCCAUGCCCGACGAUGAAAGAACCUCUUUGAGAAAGUUAUACAAUAGAUUUAUUAUAUAAAUUAUUUUAAAUUAUAUAAAUUCAUAUAAGAAAAUUUAUUAUCAAUAAUUUUAUGAAAUUAUAUCUUAUUAAAUUAUAUGUAAUAAUAAUUAUUUUAAAUUAUACAAAUUCAUAUAAGAUAAUUUAGUUAUAAUUAUUGUAAAUUUUAUUAAAUCAUAUAUUUUAAUUAAAAUAUAUUUAAUAUUAAUCAUUUCAAAUUAUCUUUUAUAGUAUCAUAUAUUAUGAUUUGAGUAAAUUCAUAUAAAAAUAUUAAUUAUUAAGAAUUUUAUUAAAUUAUAUAUUUUAAUUAUAAUAUAUUAAUAUAUUUAAUAAUAAUUAUGUUUAAAUAUGAUUAAAUUAUUUAUUUUUGAUAAUAAAUAAUCUUAUUAAAAUUUAAAUAACAAUAACAAUAAUCAUUUACCAAAACACAUUUAUGCUAAGGGUAUUCUGGUCAUUUUAGUUUUCUCCAUUAUGCUAUUACACCUCUAUUACAUUCAACCAAACACAGUUUUUACUAUUACGCCUCUAUUCCAUUACAUUCAACCAAACAGUUGAUUUGCUAUUACACCUCUAUUCCAUUACACCUCUAAUCCAAUACAGCGAACCAAACGUGCCCUUAGUCUUUCAAUAAAACCCCAAACAACCAUUUUAAAAAAAUAGGUGGUUUAAUUCUAAUUAUGAUUAAAUUACUGAAAACAAGUCAAACCCAAAUAAAAAAAUUCUCAAAAAAUUAAACUUCCCAAUUCUAUUGAUAUUCCGAAUUGUUUGUAGCAUUUCAUGUUUAAUCAUUUCUAUUGAUAAGCCCUCCCCCAAAAACAUAAUAAUUUUUUCAUCUGCUUUUUCAGCAAUGGAGACUUUCAUAGCAAUAGCUAAAGGAGCGAAAUAAACCCUAGGUAGGAAAUCGAGAAAGAAAGCCAAAGACAAAAAAGGGAAGAGCCAAGGAAUGAGAUACAUUGUUAAAACAUACCAUUACCAAUGUAAGAGCUGGAAACAGAGAUGAAUUGGAAGUAGCCUUCUUCUGCUGAUAUUCACGCCGGAGAGAUGGAAAAAAAGGGAAACGUAGAGGUGCAGAAGCAGAAGAUGAAGCUGAGGGCAAAAAUUGAAAAAUGAGAAAAAGAAAAUCAGAACAGAGGGAAGGAAUAACUGAACGCUGCUUUGCAAGGGAAUAGAAAUCGAC
rnacentral:lncRNA from 1 species